rfam:Ahrensia sp. R2A130 contig00003, whole genome shotgun sequence.
CCAGCUGGCUGGACGGCCGCCCUGCACAGAACCGAAAGGGGUGCGGGGAGGAAAGUCCGGGCUCCAUGGAAACACGGUGCCGGAUAACGUCCGGCGGGGGUGACCCCAGGGAAAGUGCAACAGAAAGCAGACCACCGGCCAGCUUCUUCGGGAGUGCCGGCAAGGGUGAAAGGGUGGGGUAAGAGCCCACCGCAGGCGUGGCAACACGCUUGGCACGGCAAACCCCACCGGGAGCAAAACCGAAUAGGGACACGUGAGGUUCGGGCAACUGGAUCGGGCCGGUUUUCAGGCUUUUGCGUGUCCGGGUAGGUUGCACCGAGGUGGCGCGCAAGCGUCAUCCCAGAUGAAUGGUCGUCAGCCGUUUUGCGCUUGCGCAUGGCGGUUACAGAACCCGGCUUACAGGCCAGCUGGUGCC